rnacentral:lncRNA from 1 species
GCUGUGACCGGGCGGGACCCGCUGCUGCCGCAUGCCCUGCUCCUAGGGCUGCCACAGAACUAGGAGACCCUUGGAGGUUCUGCUUGGAGGGAUCUGGCUUUGGGAGACUGGAGCUGAAAUCAGCAAGGAGAGGGCAUGUCACUUUAACAGCACAACAGACCGUGGUGUUGUGAUGACAGCAGCGCGGCUCAAGCCCGCGGGAGCCUUGAAGAGCCUUGGUUUUCGAAGAUGAGUGGCCUUUUGGCCUAAAUACACAUUGGUCACUGCGUUCAUCACUGAAGGAAGAAUAAAAUGGAUAAAAAUUCCACCACAAUCACCAGACUGGAAGCUCAUUGAAGUGGUUUGGCACAAGAUGCACCACCUGCAUGCACAUAUUAAACUACUCCACAGGAUGAAUUGUUGGGUGGUAUCCACAAAUACCGAAUACGAUUUUAACUUGGGAAUUUGUAAACAAGUGCAUGGACCUUACUGACAAAGAACUGCCAGCAAAAAUCUAACCAAACUAUUCUAAAGAUAUUUCUCAAGAAUAAGAAA